UGUGGCAAGUGUCUGUAUACUGGAGAAGCCCUGAUUUAGCUGGGGAGUGGCUUUCUGGUGCUGGACUUUAUGUCUUUGCACUGGGGAGCCCCACAACUGCAGCAAGUGUCUGUAUACUGGAGAAGCCCUGAUUUAGCUGGGGAGCAGCUUUCUCGUGCUGGACUUCAUGUCUCUGCACUGGGGACCCAUACAAAUAGUGAGAGCGUGGCCCUCGUAGGGGCCGUACAAGGAGCAGCCCCUAUUUCAGCUGAGGGGUGGCUUUCUGGUGCUGGACUUUAUGUCUUUGCACUGGGGAGCCCUACAACUGCGGCACGUGUCUGUAUACUGGAGAAGCCCUGAUCAGGCUGGGGAUAUCAGCAGUCGAGCACUUUCUUUAAUGGAAUAUAAAGUUCAAAAUUUAGGACUGUCCUUUGUUCCAUUGUCUUUUCAUGAUGAAUUUAAAUUAGAGGUGGAUUUAUUCAACCUGGAGAGACUCAUAAAAUUACGGAUUAUGUUUGGAGAUACCUAGGAAUCUGAUCAGGAAAGGUUUUGACCUAAAUCUCAUCUUGUUCCAUAUCUUGAACAUCCCACUGUUACUGUUUUCAUGAAUGAAGUUAAAUAGAUAUAGAUAUAUAGAGAUAUAUAUAGAGAGAGAUAUAUAUAUAUAAAAUUGGAAAAGCAAUAUAAACGUAUGAAAUUCAAACAUGGAAAUUUAACAAGGGAAGAAUGGGAGGCUGUUCAGGAUUUGUCUUAUGAUGGCAAUAUAGUUGUAAAACCUGCGGACAAAGGUGAGGCUUUGGUUAUUCAGGAUUGGGAAAAGUAUGAUCUAGAAAUUAAUACUCAGCUGGCUGAUCGGACUACAUAUGUCCCUAUUGAACAUCCGGCAGACGCUGUAGGAUAUAUUAAGCAUUUUUGGUACCAUUGAAGCCAGUACAAUUUGGUAUCCAGUAGCAUUUCUAAUUUAGAAACCACUGGUAGGUACAGUGUCAUUUUGGAAGAAAUAAAUGUAAUUACUAAAAAAUUUCUAACCCUUAAGUUAAUGUAAUUUGUUGAAGGUAUUUUGAAAUGAUGCAUAUGUUAUUAUGUAUUCCGCUGGCUUCUCCGGAUGAAGUCUUGUUCAAGUAGGAGGAAACAGGUUAAAAUGACUUAGGAUACCUGUUGGGAACUUUUUGGACAAGGAGCAUCUAUCGGAAGGAGCAACAUUUGUACAUGGAGCUACCUUUAGAAUAGGAACUUGUAAAGAGAAAAGAUUUGGUAGGACUUUUGGAGUAACAACUUGAAUACAGAACCAGCAAGAGAAAUGAUUUGGUAGGACUUUUGGAGUAACAACUUGAAUACGGAACCAGCAAGAGAAAUGAUUUGGUAAGACUUUUGGAGUAACAACUUGAAUACAGAACCAGCAAGAGAAAUGAUUUGGUAAGACUUUUGGAGUAACAACUUGAAUACAGAACCAGCAAGAGAAAAGAUCUGGUAGGACUUUAUGUCUACAUGUAAUAGGACCACGGACAUUAUUGACCUUCAGCUACAAUGUUUUGGGGUUGAGAACACAGACAAUUUCUCUAGCAAUUUGUGUGUUUCAUUCAUGUAAUUUGUGUGUGUGAAAUAGACUCUUCUACACGGUAUAUAUACUAUCCUGUAUAUGUUUGUUGAGCCCUACAUCUGUGGCAAGUGUCUGUAUACAGGAGAAGCCCUGAUUUAGCUUGGGAGCAGCUUUCUCAUGCUGGACUUCAUGUCUCUGCACGGGGGACCCAUACAAAUAGUGAGAGCGUGGCCCUCGUAGGGGCCGUACAAUGAGCAGCCCCUAUUUCAGCUGAGGGGUGGCUUUCUCGUGCUGGACUUUAUGUCUUUGCACUGGGGAGCCCCACAACUGUGGCAAGUGUCUGUAUACUGGAGAAGCCCUGAUUUAGCUGGGGAGUGGCUUUCUGGUGCUGGACUUUAUGUCUUUGCACUGGGGAGCCCUACAACUGUGGCAAGUGUCUGUAUACUGGAGAAGCCCUGAUUUAGCUGGGGAGUGGCUUUCUGGUGCUGGACUUUAUGUCUUUGCACUGGGGAGCCCUACAACUGUGGCAAGUGUCUGUAUACUGGAGAAGCCCUGGUCUGGCUGGGGAGUGGCUUUCUCAUGCGGGACUUUAUGUCUUUGCACUGGGUAGCCCCACAACUGUGGUAAGUGUCUGUAUACUGGAGAAGCCCUGAUUUAGCUGGGGAGUGGCUUUCUGGUGCUGGACUUUAUGUCUUUGCACUGGGGAGCCCCACAACUGUGGCAAGUGUCUGUAUACUGAAGAAGCCCUGAUUUAGCUGGGGAGUGGCUUUCUGGUGCUGGGCUUUAUGUCUUUGCACUGGGGAGCCCUACAACUGCGGCAAGUGUCUGUAUACUGGAGAAGCCCUGAUCAGGCUGGGGAUAUCAGCAGUCGAGCACUUUCUUUAAUGGAAUAUAAAGUUCAAAAUUUAGGACUGUCCUUUGUUCCAUUGUCUUUUCAUGAUGAAUUUAAAUUAGAGGUGGAUUUAUUCAACCUGGAGAGACUCAUAAAAUUACGGAUUAUGUUUGGAGAUACCUAGGAAUCUGAUCAGGAAAGGUUUUGACCUAAAUCUCAUCUUGUUCCAUAUCUUGAACAUCCCACUGUUACUGUUUUCAUGAAUGAAGUUAAAUAGAUAUAGAUAUAUAUAGAUAUAUAUAUAGAUAUAUAGAUAUAUAUAAAAUUGGAAAAGCAAUAUAAACGUAUGAAAUUCAAACAUGGAAAUUUAACAAGGGAAGAAUGGGAGGCUGUUCAGGAUUUGUCUUAUGAUGGCAAUAUAGUUGUAAAACCUGCGGACAAAGGUGGGGCUUUGGUUAUUCAGGAUUGGGAAAAGUAUGAUCUAGAAAUUAAUACUCAGCUGGCUGAUCGGACUACAUAUGUCCCUAUUGAACAUCCGGCAGACGCUGUAGGAUAUAUUAAGCAUUUUUGGUACCAUUGAAGCCAGUACAAUUUGGUAUCCAGUAGCAUUUCUAAUUUAGAAACCACUGGUAGGUACAGUGUCAUUUUGGAAGAAAUAAAUGUAAUUACUAAAAAAUUUCUAACCCUUAAGUUAAUGUAAUUUGUUGAAGGUAUUUUGAAAUGAUGCAUAUGUUAUUAUGUAUUCCGCUGGCUUCUCCUGAUGAAGUCUUGUUCAAGUAGGAGGAAACAGGUUAAAAUGACUUAGGAUACCUGUUGGGAACUUUUUGGACAAGGAGCAUCUAUCAGAAGGAGCAACAUUUGUACAUGGAGCUACCUUUAGAAUAGGAACUUGUAAAGAGAAAAGAUUUGGUAGGACUUUUGGAGUAACAACUUGAAUACGGAACCAGCAAGAGAAAUGAUUUGGUAAGACUUUUGGAGUAACAACUUGAAUACAGAACCAGCAAGAGAAAUGAUUUGGUAAGACUUUUGGAGUAACAACUUGAAUACAGAACCAGCAAGAGAAAAGAUCUGGUAGGACUUUAUGUCUACAUGUAAUAGGACCACGGACAUUAUUGACCUUCAGCUACAAUGUUUUGGGGUUGAGAACACAGACAAUUUCUCUAGCAAUUUGUGUGUUUCAUUCAUCUAAUUUGUCUGUGUGAAAUAGACUCUUCUACACCGUAUAUAUACUAUCCUGUAUAUGUUUGUUGAGCCCUACAUCUGUGGCAAGUGUCUGUAUACAGGAGAAGCCCUGAUUUAGCUUGGGAGCAGCUUUCUCAUGCUGGACUUCAUGUCUCUGCACGGGGGACCCAUACAAAUAGUGAGAGCGUGGCCCUCGUAGGGGCCGUACAAUGAGCAGCCCCUAUUUCAGCUGAGGGGUGGCUUUCUCGUGCUGGACUUUAUGUCUUUGCACUGGGGAGCCCCACAACUGUGGCAAGUGUCUGUAUACUGAAGAAGCCCUGAUUUAGCUGGGGAGUGGCUUUCUGGUGCUGGACUUUAUGUCUUUGCACUGGGGAGCCCUACAACUGUGGCAAGUGUCUGUAUACUGGAGAAGCCCUGGUUUAGCUGGGGAGUGGCUUUCUGGUGCUGGACUUUAUGUCUUUGCACUGGGGAGGCCUACAACUGUGGCAAGUGUCUGUAUACUGGAGAAGCCCUGAUUUAGCUGGGGAGUGGCUUUCUGGUGCUGGACUUUAUGUCUUUGCACUGGGGAGCCCCACAACUGCGGCACGUGUCUGUAUACUGGAGAAGCCCUGAUUUAGCUGGGGAGUAGCUUUCUGGUGCUGGACUUUAUGUCUUUGCACUGGGGAGCCCCACAACUGUGGCAAGUGUCUGUAUACUGGAGAAGCCCUGGUCUGGCUCGGGAGUGGCUUUCUUGUGCGGGACUUUAUGUCUUUGCAUGGGGGAGCCCCACCACUGUGGCAAGUGUCUGUAUACUGGAGAAGCCCUGGUCUGGCUGGGGAGUGGCUUUCUCAUGCGGGACUUUAUGUCUUUGCACUGGGUAGCCCCACAACUGUGGUAAGUGUCUGUAUACUGGAGAAGCCCUGAUUUAGCUGGGGAGUGGCUUUCUGGUGCUGGACUUUAUGUCUUUGCACUGGGGAGCCCCACAACUGCGGCAAGUGUCUGUAUACUGGAGAAGCCCUGAUUUAGCUGGGGAGUAGCUUUCUGGUGCUGGACUUUAUGUCUUUGCACUGGGGAGCCCCACAACUGUGGCAAGUGUCUGUAUACUGGAGAAGCCCUGGUCUGGCUCGGGAGUGGCUUUCUUGUGCGGGACUUUAUGUCUUUGCACUGGGGAGCCCCACAACUGUGGCAAGUGUCUGUAUACUGGAGAAGCCCUGAUUUAGCUGGGGAGUGGCUUUCUGGUGCUGGACUUUAUGUCUUUGCACUGGGGAGCCCCACAACUGUGGCAAGUGUCUGUAUACUGAAGAAGCCCUGAUUUAGCUGGGGAGUGGCUUUCUGGUGCUGGACUUUAUGUCUUUGCACUGGGGAGCCCCACAACUGUGGCAAGUGUCUGUAUACUGAAGAAGCCCUGAUUUAGCUGGGGAGUAGCUUUCUGGUGCUGGACUUUAUGUCUUUGCACUGGGGAGCCCCACAACUGUGGCAAGUGUCUGUAUACUGGAGAAGCCCUGGUCUGGCUCGGGAGUGGCUUUCUUGUGCGGGACUUUAUGUCUUUGCAUGGGGGAGCCCCACCACUGUGGCAAGUGUCUGUAUACUGGAGAAGCCCUGGUCUGGCUGGGGAGUGGCUUUCUCUUCCGGGACUUCAUGUCUCUGCACUGGGGAGCCAUUAAAAUAGUGAGAGGGUGGCCCUCAUAGGGGCCGUACAAGGAGCAGCCCCUAUUUCAGCUGAGGGGUGGCUUUCUCGUCCUGGCCUUUAUGUCUUUGCACUGGGGAGCCAUACAAAUAGUGAGAGCGUGGCCCUCGUAAGGGCCGUACAAGGAGCAGCCCCUAUUUCAGCAGAGGUGUGGCUUUCUGGUGCUGGACUUUAUGUCUUUGCACGGCGGAGCCCCACCACUGUGGCAAGUGUCUGUAUACUGGAGAAGCCCUGGUCUGGCUGGGGAGUGGCUUUCUCGUGCGGGACUUCAUGUCUCUGCACUGGGGAGCCAUACAAAUAGUGAGAGCGUGGCCCUCGUAAGGGCCGUACAAGGAGCAGCCCCUAUUUCAGCAGAGGUGUGGCUUUCAGGUGCUGGACUUUAUGUCUUUGCAUGGGGGUGCCCCACCACUGUGGCAAGUGUCUGUAUACUGUAGAAGCCCUGAUUUAGCUGGGGAGUGGCUUUCUCGUGCGGGACUUUAUGUCUUUGCACGUGGGAGCCCCACCACUGUGGCAUGUGUCUGUAUACUGGAGAAGCCCUGCUCUGGCUUGGGAGUGGCUUUCUCGUGCGGGACUUCAUGUCCUGGCACUGGGGAGCCCCGAAAAUGGUGGGAGCAUGGCCUCCUCAGCCGAGCCUGAGUGUCUGUAUGCUGCGUGGCUGCUCAUUUAUCUGCAGGGUGCCGUUCCUCGCUGUGUGACUUCACCCUUCAUCUUGCGAGUGGUGAUGAGUUGGCAUCUCCCAACUGCCCUGUCCCUAGUCUUCAGCUUGGUGCGCCCUGCCCACGAGAAAGCCAGGGACGGUGGAAGUGCGGCAUCCAUGACCUCUUCAAGCAGCGUGGUGUGCCGAGCGGGCCCUGCUGGCUGGCUGAAGGCACACGAAGGCAGUGGGGAGCAAGGACAGAAGAAAGAGGUGCAGAAGGAGGAAGAGAAACAAGCAGGAAGACGCCAGCGGAGACGUGAAAAGAAGCAGGAGGAGACCGGCUCUCCAGGAGCUUAGCAGAAGAAACGGGCAGGCUGUGCUUCCACCAGGCGGACGGCAUCAUUUCUCUCUCUCUCUCGGCCACUGAUCACUCUGCGUGGGGCUGCAGAUGGCCCUGUAGCGUGGCAUUCCUCGUGCUGGACUUCAUGUCUUUGCACUAAGGAGCCCUGACAGGGGUGGGAGUGCGGCCUUCUCAGGCUGCCCCGAAUCUCUCUGCACUGAGUCUCUUGCAAUUGGGUGGGAGGUGGCUUGCUCAUGCUGGACCUGAAGUAUGUGCGCUGAGCCGCCCCUGGUCGGGGCCGGGGGCGUUGCUUUCUCAUGCUGAGCUUGAUGCAUGUGCGCUGAGCUGCCCCUGGCUGGGCUGGCCUGGGGGUGUUGCUUCCUCGCGCCGAGCCUUAUAGGUAUGUGCGCUGAGCCACCCCUGGUCGGGGCUGGGGGUGUUGCUUUUUGCUGCCAGGCCUUAUGUCUGUGCACUGAGCCGCCCCAGUGAGGGCUGGGGGCGUUGCUUCCUCGCGCUGUGCUUCACGUCUUUGCUCUGAGAAGCUCCUCAUUUGGCCGGGGGUGGCUCUCUCCAAUCCUUGCUACAUGACUUUGUCCUUCAUGCUCUGAGUGGUGUUGAGCUGGCCACUCCGCCCUGCCCACGGAGGAAGCUCGGGACGGUAGAAGUGUGGCCUCCCUGACCUCUUCAAGCAGCAGCAGCAGCAGCCUCUGCUGGCUGAAGGCACACGCCUGACGCUUGGUGUGCUCACACUCCUUGGCUUGGGCUCUUGCAUGAGCAGUGCUGCUUCUCAAGAAGGCCUUCUAAAGAGGGAAAAGAGUCAAGAGCUGUGAGAAGCUGAUCUCUUGCCUUAGGAGGCAAGGGAGAGAAAGGGCAGAAGAAAGAAGUGCCGCGGGCUGGCGAAAAAGGAGCACCAGGAGGAGACCUGAAGAUGGAAGAAGGAGGCGGAGGAGACUGGCUCUCAAGCAGCUUCACAGAAGAAAGAAGGGGGAGAUUCCCCUUCGACCAGCUGGAGGGCCUGUUUGCUGGCUUGCUCUCUGCUCUUUCUCCCUGAGUAGAGGCUGAUUUACCUGGAGCCUGGCUGCUUCAGAAGGCUUGGGAUGUCCCUGCCCUGAGUAGCCUCUGGUUUGGGAGGGGCGUGGACAUAACAGGAUGGACUCGGUGUCCAUAUGCUCAGUGGCCCUUUCCUGAACUGGGCUGCGGCAUUCUCGUGCUGGACUUCAUGUCUUUGCACUGGGGAGCCAUACAAAUAGUGAGAGGGUGGCCCUCAUAGAGGCCGUCCAAGGGGCAGCCCCUAUUUCAGCUGAGGUGUGGCUUUCUCAUGCGGGACUUUAUGUCUUUGCACUGGGGAGCCCUGCAACUGUGGCAAGUGUCUGUAUACUGAAGAAGCCCUGAUUUAGCUGGGGAGUGGCUUUCUGGUGCUGGACUUUAUGUCUUUGCACUCGGGAGCCCUGCAACUGUGGUAAGUGUCUGUAUACUGGAGAAGCCCUGAUUUAGCUGGGGAGUAGCUUUCUCGUGCUGGACUUUAUGUCUUUGCACUGGGGAGCCCCACAACUGCGGCAAGUGUCUGUAUACUGGAGAAGCCCUGAUUUAGCUGGGGAGUGGCUUUCUGGUGCUGGACUUUAUGUCUUUGCACUGGGGAGCCAUACAAAUAGUGAGAGCGUGGCCCUCAUAGAGGCCGUCCAAGGGGCAGCCCCUAUUUCAGCUGAGGUGUGGCUUUCUCAUGCUGGAGUUUAUGUCUUUGCACUGGGGAGCCCUGCAACUGUGGCAAGUGUCUGUAUACUGGAGAAGCCCUGAUUUAGCUGGGGAGCGGCUUUCUCAUGCUGGACUUCAUGUCUCUGCACUGGGGAGCCAUAAAAAUAGUGAGAGCAUGGCCCUCUUAGUGGCCGUACAAGGGGCAGCCCCUAUUUCAGCUGAGGUGUGGCUUUCUCGUGCUGGACUUUAUGUCUUUGCACUGGGUAGCCCCACAACUGUGUUAAGUGUCUGUAUACUGGAGAAGCCCUGAUUUAGCUGGGGAGUGGCUUUCUCGUGCUGGACUUUAUGUCUUUGCACUGGGGAUCCCCACAACUCCGGCAAGUGUCUGUAUACUGGAGAAGCCCUGAUUUAGCUGGGGAGUGGCUUUCUGGUGCUGGACUUUAUGUCUUUGCACUGGGGAGCCCUGCAACUCUGGCAAGUGUCUGUAUACUGGAGAAGCCCUGAUUUAGCUGGGGAGUGGCUUUCUUGUGCUGGACUUUAUGUCUUUGCACUGUCUUUCUUAGUGGCCAUACAGUGGGCUUCGGGUAUCACUUUUUUUUUUUUUUUUUUGGUUUUUACAUAUUUUUUUCUUUGGAUUUUACAUUUAAAUGUCUGGGGGAGCUUCAAUCCUGGUUACAUGACUUUGCUCUUCUUUUUCUCAAUAUUUAUGAAGGUGGUACCUUCGGCCUGGCGUGGUGCGGCAGUAGAAGUGCGGCAUUUCUGAUCUCUUCAAGUCGCGUGGUAUGCUGAGUAUGCUCUGCUGGCUGAAAGCACACGGUGCGUGGACUGAUCAGACUAGGAGAUGUGUUCUGAAACCUCAAUCUUUGUGGUCUCAUUCCCUUUGGCUUGGGUUCUUGGAUGAACAUAGAUUGUCUUCAACAUGUCCUUCUUAAGAGAGAAAAGAGUAAAGAACAAACUUUUGUCUUUGUUUAGAAGACAAAGGGGAGAAAAAACAAUAAAUUGUGGAAAUCUGGACUUAGGCGCAUCGAGUAGGCAGAAAAGAACAGAAGUGGGUAUUGAUAAGGAGGAUAAAGAUUCUGAAUCUUUUUGGUUCUCCGUUUGUUAGAAGAGAACAGAAGAAAGAUUGAAGGAACAACUGCAGAACAAGGAGAAAGAACAUCAGAAAGUCCCAACAGGAGCUCUGAAGACUAACUGGAUAAGUGGGAGAAGACCGGAUAACAAGAAGCAGGAGAGAAGAAACAGGCAGGCUCCCCUCGGAGCUGACAGCCUCCUUCAUGACUGAGUAGCAAUUCUAUCACAUAGAAAUAUCCCCACAUUGCUGUGAGCCUGUUUCAACCCAAGAGGGUGACUGUCUCCAAAGGACUUCAGUUUUUGAUGGCGUCUAAAUAUUGGCACAGCCCUGUGAAGCUGCUUGGCCUGUCAGCUGGUGGGGGUCUCAAAAGAGCGGCAUGCUUGAGGGGCAGUUUUCUGGCAGUUCAGUCUUUCAUGCCUGACCCUGUGACUCAGCUACUUCCUGCUCUGAGAAAUCCCCAAGGUACUUGGAGUGUGGUUUUCUUCAUUCCUGGCUUGAUAUCUCUGCUUCAGAUUGCUCAGAGCAGCCACUGAGAUGACUGGAGAGCCACUGGCCUUGGGUGUGUCCAGGGUUUUAUCCUAGAUGGCUUCUCUGCCCCCCAUUAUUUCUGUAUGCUGCUUGCAAUAUUGUUUAAAUACAAACUUAAAAUACAUUAAAAACAAACAAAAAUAGCUGUUGCAUAGGAUAACCUCUAAAAGGAUAGGAUCAAACUUAAAAAGAAUAAACAAGUGUAGUAUAAUAUAAGUAGGAUAACAUCUAAAAGAUUAGGAUAAAAUCUAAAAAGAUUGAAACAAGUAUAGUAUAAUAUAAGAAAUACAGAUCUAUUAACUUAAUUAGGAAGGCUAAUAGGAAAUAAAAUGAAGCAUUUUCAAAGUAGAUUAGAUAUUCUAGACCAACUAGUGUAUUAAAAUAAUAUUCAAAGCAGCAUAUGGGAAUGGUGAGAAAAAGCACUUUGCUACUGAAAGUCUGAAAUGCCAGAACCCAUCCACCAGUCCCUCAUGUAGCUCUUCCGUGGCUCCGGGUCUCUUCCUGCUAGGAUCUUAUAGACUAUUCCCCCUUUGAUGCAAAGAUGGGUGCUUGGGCGAUUUGAUGUAGAAAUAAAGAUCAAUAUUGUCUUUGUGUAGCUUUGUUUACUGACAGGCUUAUAGGAUGCUGAAGAGGGUAUUUCUGUCAAGCACCCCAGAAUUGAUUCUUAUUUCAAGUUGUUUUAACCUGUGUUUUUUUGUAAAUGGCCCAGAGACAUGAGUUUUGGGUGAUCAUAACCACAUAUGCUAAAUAAAAAGCUGUCAGUAUUGUCUGCUAGAAUCAAA